GACGGGGGGUCCUAGCGUUGUUCGGAAUCAUUGGGCGUAAAGCGUGUGCAGGUGGUUUGUAAAGUUGGAUGUGAAAGCCUUGGGCUUAACCCAAGAAGUGCAUUCAAAACUGCCAAACUUGAGUAGGAAAGAGGGUCGUGGAAUUCCAGGUGUAGUGGUAAAAUACGUAGAUAUCUGGAGGAACACCGGUGGCGAAGGCGGCGACCUGGUCCUAUACUGACACUCAUACACGAAAGCGUGGGGAUCAAACAGG
rnacentral:rRNA from 1 species